UCCUGGUAACAAUAAUAUUUGGAUUCAAAAAACUUAGAGUGAUCCAGAAAACUUGCAGUGAUCCUAAGACACUUAGUGCAAGAGUUGUCUCUUAAGUGCCUGAAUACACUGUAUGUGAUCAAUAUUUGAAUUGUAUUCCUUUGAGAACUCAAUAAUUUCGUUUUACUGAGUCUCAUUGCAUUUUUAUGUUACUUUCCACCCUCCUAGCGCACACGAUUGCUACUGGGUUGAUUCCAAACUUUUGGUAUCUUUCAAGUACCGGUAAAUCUGGCAAAUUCUUCUUCCUCUUAUUAAAUAAAAACUUAUAGUUACAGCAAUCUAUGAUUAAUCCCGUAUGUGAUGUUUGGCUUUCGUAAGUCUUUCAAAACUGGGGGAUUUUUAUGGGGAAAAAAAAAAUCUUUUUCUCUGUUUUUAUUUCAACUAAAUAUAUUUUAUUUUGCCAACCAAGAGAUAAUGACAGCCCAUUUAACAGGUCAGAUCCUCAGCUUCAUUGUUUCAGUGAACUGGGUUAAAACUGCCUUAUAUCUCACCCGAGAGAAGGACCUCCAUGGGCACACAAACCUGAUGCAGAAACCUGAAGAAAAGGAACGUGGAUGGCAAAUUUCCAUUACUUGUACUCCAUAUCCUAGACUGGUCCUUUGGUACACAGCGAAGCAUUGCGCUCUGAAUCAGAUGUGGUGAUGCUGAGCAAUGCUGGUGUCAAAUAGGAGACUGGAAAAACCAACUGGCGGUUUACCUUUGCCUGGGUCUCCCACUCCUGGACUAGGUGAAGUUCUCACUCCACACAGCGGUGAACACAGGGUUUGCCUACUCCCCCGGCUGCGCCUGGGGCAUCGCCGCUCUGGAGGGCACGUCUGGGCCCGGGUGAGUCAGUUUUCCUUCAGCUGGGCACUGCCGCUGGCACGGCGUGAGGUGGCUUCGUGGCAAGGGCAGGGAGCAGCCUGGGUCCCAACACGGGGGGGAUGUGGAGCAUUUCACCUUUAUUGCCGUUGGCUGAAAAUUUCAGCUUGUUGCAAACAACCCUGCGCUUUGCUGCCUAACAGUUCUCCUGAUUUCCAAUGAACCAGUGACCAAACAAAAGCGGGUCCUAAUUACCUCGAUCCCGGUUUUUUCUCUGAUAGAGUUUAAUGGGUAUGAAGUGUUACUAUUGAUUUUCACGGGAACAGGAAAGGGUUCACGUUAUCCAAUGCAUACUGAAAAUCCUAUGACAGUUACUGGAAGGCAAAAAGACACGCUAACUCUCCUUUAAAUUGCAGGAUGAAAAUUGUGUAUUAGAACAAUUAUGCCUCGGGGUGAAUGUAUACACUCACAGAGCUUCUACUGCAGUUACUGGAUGUUCUCCAAGUUCUAGUGAGAUGAUAAACAACUGGGCACUGGACUGAGUAACAGAGGAAUUCAUAUGAAUCCAAAUAUCAUCUUCACUGAAAAAAGCUCUUGGAUGUAUUAAAGAUUUUUUUUCCCCCCUCAAAAAUUGUAAGACUAAGAUUUGGUAAAUCUGAGGACUAAGCAAUGCCAAAUCAGUGUCGUGUCUGUGGCAAGAAUUGGUAACUGUUGGAACCGGAUGUGAAAUCAUGUCAGUUGGUUGUUCCACACCUGAGGCUGCUACCUGACCUUCCACACGCUGCUUUGAGGAAAUGAAAGGCUUUUUCCUGAUGGUGCUAAGACAAAAAAUCAUUCCAUGAUGCAUUCAUUACCUGCAUAUCAAUCCCCUUGGAAGGGACUUCUGGAGAUGUCUAAUCCGGCACCCAACUCAAAGCAACUUCAACCCUGAAGUCAGAUUCCACUCCAGACGUGAAUGAGGUUGCUGAGGGCCUGGCCCAGUUGGAAUCUCAGAUGCAUGUUCCAGUCUCUCUAGACAACCUAAUGGCUUUCUACUUGAUCAGCAACCAGACUGCACAGAUGCCUGAGUUUAAGAAUGCCUGAACUGCAGCAACUUCAAAAGAGCUAAUUUUCAGUGGGAUGGUAAAAAUCUAUAUAUUUCUGAAGAAGAGAUUGAUAAUUAAACGAAGAUCAUUAAUUUCUGUCCUUAAAAUAGUAAAAUCAAGUAUACAGCACAACAUCUUUUCAAAACCCUGAGCUUCCAGGCGAGGAGAUGCACCUCAGAUACUAACACCAGAAGGCUCAUCAGGAGUUGAAAAAAAGCUUGAAGCGUAAGAAACAUCACAGAGGCUGUCAAUUAAUAUCUCAUUAAUAAAGAAAACAACAACAAAAUGAACAAAUAAACAAGGAAAAUAGGCUAAGUGGAAAGGUGUUAAUUGAGGAAGAUCUGAAAGGCUUGAAAGAUCUAAACAUAAAGAAUUAAGAAAAGAGUGAGUUUUUCACGUGAAUUCAUCUGCUUGGAGAUGAAGACUUGGUCCUGCACAGCUGUGAUGUUGUGAAACAACAUGAAGAAUACAGACAUAAGCAAAAUCAACGGAACUGGGAAUGAGAGUAGACAGACAGUCAGGAUUCUGGGUUAGUGCAGAUGGAACAGACACUUGGUUGAAAAUGUUUCAUUUUCAGGUAUCACUGGAAAAAAAAAUCCAAUCAUUUCUACUAGCUGAACACCAAGCCAGUGACCAGAAGUGAAGAAGAAAAUAAGACUCCUGCUUUCCUUGAAGGGCUUGGUGUGAGGGAUGUGCACCACCUCUCAGGUCCUUGGAACCCCGUCUCCCAUAUUGGCCACUCUAAAAAUUUGACAUUGUUCUCUUGACCUAGCUAUGUUAAAUGCUAAAAUGGAUGAAUGACAUUUGAAGACUAAUGUGGGGGUUUUGGGGAGGUUUUUUUGAGAAUGACUAGGAAAAAAAAUUGGAAAAAAGGGAGGGGGAUAAAAAGGGAGAGACAGAAUCCUUCACAUGCGAGUCGCAUCCAUUUAAAAUCCAGUUAGAACAAGCAGUGAUAAAAUUAAUUCCUGUGUGCUAACUUUCAAGAAACAAGUUGAUAUGUCCAAUGGAGAUUACAGGCAACAAAAGCAGUCAACCUAGACCUCUGACCACUGCAUUACUGACCCUUGUUGAGUAUUCUAAUUAAUUAAAAUAAUUAAUUUUGUUGAGGAAUGUGUUUCACACUGUUAUGUAAGUCUAGCUAUGAUUAAAGAAAAUUAUGAACAAAAUAGGAAGGUAAUUUUGAUGUAUUAUGUUUAAAAGAAAUUUUAGUUUGUCUUCUGUAUAAUUCCCAUUAUCAGCAUAAUCAUCUAGUAUUGCGUGUCAUUUUUCUUCUUUCUUAUUUUCACUAAGACUACCAAAAAAAGUGUAAAGAUC